UACAUGCAAGUCGAACGAGAUUGAGAAGCUUGCUUUUCAUGAAAGUGGCGCACGGGUGCGUAACGCGUAUGCAACCUACCUUAAUCAGGGGGAUAGCCUCUCGAAAGAGAGAUUAACACCGCAUAAUAUCAUUUAAUGGCAUCAUUGAAUGAUCAAAUAUUUAUAGGAUUGAGAUGGGCAUGCGUGACAUUAGCUAGUUGGCGGGGUAACGGCCCACCAAGGCUACGAUGUCUAGGGGAUCUGAGAGGAUGACCCCCCACACUGGUACUGAGACACGGACCAGACUCCUACGGGAGGCAGCAGUAAGGAAUAUUGGUCAAUGGGGGCAACCCUGAACCAGCCAUGCCGCGUGCAGGAAGACGGCCCUACGGGUUGUAAACUGCUUUUAUACGGGAAUAAAUCUUGGUACGUGUACCGAGUUGAAUGUACUGUAGGAAUAAGGAUCGGCUAACUCCGUGCCAGCAGCCGCGGUAAUACGGAGGAUCCAAGCGUUAUCCGGAUUUAUUGGGUUUAAAGGGUGCGUAGGCGGCCUAUUAAGUCAGGGUGAAAGACGGUGGCUCAACCAUCGCGGUGCCUUUGAUACUGAUAGGCUUGAAUACACUAGAGGUAGGCGGAAUGU
rnacentral:rRNA from 1 species